rnacentral:lncRNA from 1 species
AUUGAGUCCUAGGAGUCCCUGAUAUGGAACCUCGGGCAUUCAACCUUCAUAAGUUUGAAGUCAAUCGAAAUUAUCGCCACCCGAAGUAGCUCCCAAGUGACCUUGUAGUCCUUGAGGGCCACCCUAGGGCUUUGGGACCCCCAACCUACCUCGACAAGGGUCAUCUAAGAGACUAGCACCGAAUAGCUGGCUCGACGAGGAGAAUGAUGCAACAAGCCCUGAAGUCUUGCCUCACCUU